UUUCCAUGUUAGAGAAGGGAACAGAUUUGCUGCUUUGCUCUGCUGACUGCUAGCAGCAGUGUUUGUUGUUAACAGAGACAUUUACACCUAACCACCAGUUGGCAGGUGUUAACACUUUGUUACUUGCUAUUCCCACAUGCUGGGGAUUGUGGGAAAGCUGUCAAGCUCUCUGUCUUGUGUAACGCUUCUGUUUUGCGAUAACAACAACAACAAAACCCCUGAACAAAUGCAGAAGCUCUGAAGGAAUGCAGGGCUACCAAUGGAAGCAAGAAGACAGUUUUGGAUGACUGCUGGCUUUCAGGAUAGAAAUGCAAGAGAAGAUGGCGUUGAGCUGGAAGAGUGCGAUGGAACUUAAGAUAUUUGGACAGACCCAGCCACAGGAGAUGAAGCUUAAUUUCCCAUGUCUCAAGACAAUUCAUCUUCACGCAGUGCAGUCCAGGCAAGCCACAAGACUGGGAACCCAUGUUUUAGAGCUUGGCUCGCUAUUCUUGGUGACCUUGUUCAGCAAUGGUGUGCUCCUCUAAUGGCUGACUUCUGUUCGUUCCUUUUCAGACCCAGAAUCCUGCUAGCAACCUUCUCAAAACACUGGAGUGCUGCAUGUUUGAAGCAGACAGAAAGAAACAUAUACCUAAGUUUAAAAGUGGGGAAGAAUCUUGGCUUCUUUAAGGCUGCAUCAAGAUGGGAUCCUGCAAACAGUUUUGUUUGCCACCUAGGAAAUGUAUUCACAAUUCAUAUUCAAUUUCCUGCCUAUACAAGAAUGGAUUCUGGAUUUCAGAAACUGAUGGUGGGGUGACACUGAACAGAAGAUUAUGUGGCACUUCAUAGAACUUUUCCUUUAUUAGCUGCUCUAUAAUCACAUUAAGUUAGACUGAAAAUUUGAACUAAUUCUUUCCCAUGAGACCCAGGCUGUAAUAAUGGUAAAAAUCUGUGAAAUAGGAUAAAUACAAUUCAAUAAUUAUAUUGAUAAAUAAAAUGAAAAUCAACUAAUUGUGUCA
rnacentral:lncRNA from 1 species